AUCUGUUCUUAUCAGUUUAAUAUCUGAUAACGUCCGCUACCCGGGGACUGCAUAUUAAAUGGAUUUUUGGAUCACGGAGCCAGGGCUUGCUCCGUCCACUCCAAGCAUCGGCCUGGUAUUGCAGUGUCUCCAGGAACGGUGU
rnacentral:snRNA from 1 species